CCUUCCUUCGCAGGGCAUUCUCACCCUCUGAAAAGCUGAAAGGCUUUAACAUCUGGAUACGCGCCUGCAGCUGUGCAAAUUAAUGUAGUUUCUUUUAGGAAAUGAAGGGGAAGUUUUCCUGUUGUGAACCUAAAUACCGAGUCUACUCUGCUUUUUCAAUCAGGUGAUGAAGCUUAUGGAAAAAAAGACCAAAGGCCUCAAGGGAUGUUAUUCUUGACCCCCCCGGGGCAAACGGAGGUGUCAGCGUCAGGAGCCAUCCUAACUGAGGCCCUGGUAGGCUGCCUCUUUUCCUUCGGUCGCUGUGGACACUGUGCCGGACGCCUCUGGCAGGACUAACCCUGGGGCUUUUAUGUCCAGCGUGCUGUGCUGUGUGCCUGCAGCAUCCUGUACAAGACAAAGCUACCUUUCUUUCCUCGUGGGAAUGGACCGGCCGGGCUUUGGCAAUCUGGCCCCUCGAAAGACUAAAGUGACCUCUUCCAGCAGGGGAAGACUGAAGCAAGGGGUGCCAGGAAGAACUGGAGUCUCUGGAGAAUGAAAGCUGGAAGCGUGCCCCCGAAAAUCCCCAGCCCCGGGUGGUCAGUGGUCUGACUUGCACGGACCGGUGGCCUUGGCCAGGAGCGGUCCUGUGGGAAGCGCCUUUGCCCAGGCUGUAAUUUUAAUUUCCCUUGGAUGCUUGGCAAAGCCCCUCUGGGGGAGCCCUGGUGCCUGGCAGGAGCAGAGCGGGCUUCCAGGGAGGCAUUCACCCGGUCAGCGUCAGGAACCAUCCUAACUGAGGCCUCGGCUCCCUCUUUCCCUUCGGUCGCCGUGGGUGUGCCGGACGCCUCUGGCAGGACUAACCCCGGGGCUUUUAUGUCCAACGUGCUGUAUGCCUGCAGAAUUGCCACGAGAGGAAAUACUUCAGAGGGGCUUCCCUCCAGAUAAGCCCUGAACGUGCCAGGAGGUUUCAGCCAGAGGAAAGGAGCUGUGGAAGAAAAGCAGCCUAAAAAUAGCCAGCGGGGAUCGUCAGGUUUUCCAGGCAAGAAGAACAAGGAGAGAGAUGAGGGAAUCGGGUUCCAAUUCCUAAUGAUUUGGUGGGUGCAGGAAUGAUUUGUGUGUGUUUUCCAGUCCCUUUUGAUUCCUGAGAUGAUUUUAAAAUGAUGGCUUUAGCAAUCAACUAAAUCGGAGAUGUUGUUUUUGAGAGGAAAUGGUGCCAAAUAAAUGCAGAGUUUUGGGUCA